UGCCAGCAGCCGCGGUAAUACGUAGGGUGCAAGCGUUAAUCGGAAUUACUGGGCGUAAAGCGUGCGCAGGCGGUUAUGUAAGACAGAUGUGAAAUCCCCGGGCUCAACCUGGGAACUGCAUUUGUGACUGCAUAGCUAGAGUACGGCAGAGGGGGAUGGAAUUCCGCGUGUAGCAGUGAAAUGCGUAGAUAUGCGGAGGAACACCGAUGGCGAAGGCAAUCCCCUGGGCCUGUACUGACGCUCAUGCACGAAAGCGUGGGGAGCAAACAGGAUUAGAUACCCUGGUAGUCCACGCCCUAAACGAUGUCAACUGGUUGUUGGGAAUUCACUUUCUCAGUAACGAAGCUAACGCGUGAAGUUGACCGCCUGGGGAGUACGGCCGCAAGGUUGAAACUCAAAGAAAUUGACGG
rnacentral:rRNA from 1 species